GUCAAUAUGGUUUAGUGGUUUGAGUGUUGGACUAUAAUUCUGAAUAUUAGGGUUUGAUCCUUUGUUUUGACC
rnacentral:tRNA from 1 species